rnacentral:rRNA from 1 species
GACGAACGCUGGCGGCGUGCCUAAUACAUGCAAGUAGAACGCAGUUGGGAACGGGUGAGUAACGCGUAGGUAACUGCCCCAUAGCGGGGGAUAACUAUUGGAAACGAUAGCCAAUACCGCAUACAGUGAGAUGGAUCUGCGUUGUAUUAGCUUGUUGGGGAGGUAAAGGCCGACCAAGGCGACGAUACAUAGGCGAGCUGAGAGGGAGAACAGCCACACUGGGACCGAGACAAGGCCCAAACACCUCCGGGGUGCAGCUGUAGGGAAACAUCGGCAAUGGACGGAAGUCUGACCGAGCCACGCCGCGGGAGUGAAGAAGGUUUUCGGAGCUUAAAGCUCUGUUCUUAGAGAAGCGUUAACUAACCAGAAAGGGCCGGCUAACUACGUGCCAGCAGCCGCGGUAAUAC